rnacentral:rRNA from 1 species
GACGAACGCUGGCGGCGCGCUUAACACAUGCAAGUCGAACGGAAAGGCCUGCUUUCCCUUGUGGAUUGCGGGUACUCGAGUGGCGAACGGGUGAGUAACACGUGAGUGAUCUGCCCCCAACUUGGGUAUAAGCCUGGGAAACUGGGUCUAAUUCCCGAUAGGACUGCAGGGUGGUGCCUGUGGUGGAAAACGAUUUUCUAGUGGUUGGGGAUGAGCUCGCGGCCUAUCAGCUUGUUGGUGGGGUAAUGGCCUACCAAGGCGGCGACGGGUAGCCGGCCUGGGAGGGUGGACGGCCACAUUGGGACUGAGAUACGGCCCAGACUCCUACGGGAGGCAGCAGUGGGGAAUAUUACACAAUGGGCGGAAGCCUGGUGCAGCGACGCCGCGUGGGGGAUGACGGCCUUCGGGUUGUAAACUCCUUUCGACCGCGAGGAAGCCACCUGGUUGGAAGGGUGGUGACGGUAGUGGUAGAAGAAGCACCGGCUAACUACGUG